GUGCGCAGGCGGUCUGUUAAGACCGAUGUGAAAUCCCCGGGCUUAACCUGGGAACUGCAUUGGUGACUGGCAGGCUUUGAGUGUGGCAGAGGGAGGUAGAAUUCCACGUGUAGCAGUGAAAUGCGUAGAGAUGUGGAGGAAUACCGAUGGCGAAGGCAGCCUCCUGGGCCAACACUGACGCUCAUGCACGAAAGCGUGGGGAGCAAACAGGAUUAGAUACCCUGGUAGUUCACGCCCUAAACGAUGUCAACUAGUUGUUGGGGAUUCAUUUCCUUAGUAACGUAGCUAACGCGUGAAGUUGACCGCCUGGGGAGUACGGUCGCAAGAUUAAAACUCAAAGGAAUUGACGGGGACCCGCACAAGCGGUGGAUGAUGUGGAUUAAUUCGAUGCAACGCGAAAAACCUUACCUACCCUUGACAUGGUCGGAAUCCUGCUGAGAGGCGGGAGUGCUCGAAAGAGAACUUGAACACAGGUGCUGCAUGGCCGUCGUCAGCUCGUGUCGUGAGAUGUUGGGUUAAGUCCCGCAACGAGCGCAACCCUUGUCAUUAGUU
rnacentral:rRNA from 1 species